ACCUUUGAUGUGCAUUCCUGUUUUUUUUUUCCUUCGCCUUCCUCACUCCUUGCUUAUGUAAUGGUAGUGUUCAAGUUUGUGGAGCAUCCUGAGAAUAAUGAGAAGCCAUUAGAUCAGAAGUGCAAGGUUAAGUUCAAGAUUGUCAGUCUGAAGGUCAAAGGACCUAUGGAGUAUGUCCCAGAACUGGUAUGUUUUCUUUUAAUCUUUAGCUUGUUCAAAAGUUUUAAUUUUGAUGCUUAAUGCGUUCUCAGUUUUGAAAGACAAGGACUUAUAGAAUUACAUCCCACACCCUCACUAGUAAUUCAUUCAUAUUACCUGAAGUUUUAGUGACCUUGAUAUUAAUAUCAAUUUUUUUUCACCUGUAACACAAAAUAAUACAGUUCGUUUGUUAUGAACCUCCACAUAUUUUGUCCAUUUUAGCAGUGCAUGGUCUAAAGUGUUACCCUUAUGUUACAGUUUGAUGAGCAGAAAAACCAGGUAGCAGUUGAGCAAAUUCUGCGUGUUGUAUUCUUGGACGCUGAGCGUCAAACCCCAGUAAGUUUCAGCAAUUGCUUUUACUCUUAAUGCAACACAGUUGUGAAUAAUAGAAAGUUUACCACAAAUUUGCACUUUCUGCAGCAAAUGGACAAGCUCAAGCGCCAGCUUGCUGAAGCAGAGGCAGCACUUGAAGCACGCAAGAAACCUCCAGAGGACACCGGCCCCCGCAUUGUUGGUGAAGGCCUUGUAAUUGAUGAAUGGGUAAGAUCAGGGCACAGAAUUCUUAAUGACAGUUGUCUGGUCUUUUACUAUUGUGUUAGUGGCUGUCUCAUGUGACCAUAUAACAUUUCCUUAUUUCCCCUUAUUUCAGAAGGAGCGAAGAGAGAGAUACCUUGCUCGUCAGCAGAUUGAAGGGGUUGAUUCAGCGUAGACACGGCACCAUGAACUGUAAACCAUUGGUUGCUUGAACAUAUCGUUUUAUCGUCGCCACA
rnacentral:lncRNA from 1 species